rnacentral:rRNA from 1 species
CCUACGGGAGGCAGCAGUGGGGAAUAUUGCACAAUGGGGGAAACCCUGAUGCAGCGACGCCGCGUGAGUGAAGAAGUAUUUCGGUAUGUAAAGCUCUAUCAGCAGGGAAGAAAAAAGACGGUACCUGACUAAGAAGCCCCGGCUAACUACGUGCCAGCAGCCGCGGGAAUACGUAGGGGGCAAGCGUUAUCCGGAUUUACUGGGUGUAAAGGGAGCGUAGACGGGGAAGCAAGUCUGAAGUGAAAGCCCGGGGCUUAACCACGGGACUGCUUUGGAAACUGUUUGACUAGAGUGCUGGAGAGGUAAGUGGAAUGCCUAGUGUAGCGGUGAAAUGCGUAGAUAUUAGGAGGAACACCAGUGGCGAAGGCGGCUUACUGGACAGUAACUGACGUUGAGGCUCGAAAGCGUGGGGAGCAAACAGGAUUAGAUACCCUAGUAGUC